UAUCCCUCUUGACUCUUUUUUCCUCCUCUCUUCUUUCUUUUUCUCUUUAACUCAAAAUCGAACCAAAGCCAUUAAACCCUAACUUUGACAGUUUGACUGAAGCUGAUGCUUUUGUAUUUAACGAGUAUGUAAUCCAGUUAAAAAUUUCUUCUGGAAUGGAUUCGAAGAACAGGGAUUUUGUGACACAACCACACAUGAACAUCAUGAUGAAGGUUAAUUGGAAUGGGGAGUUUGUGGAAUUCAAUAAUUUGGAUGUUGAUACUAAGAAAAUUCUUUUGGAUGAGAAGGAUGAAGCUGUAGAUUUGGUUUGGUGGAUGGAUGAAAACAUGCCAUUUCAUUUAGCUAAAGACUCAGGGAAUACAGAAGAGCAAAAGAAAUGGUUUAUGCAUUCUUCGUAGUCGUAUGAGCAGACUCUCGGAAAGUUAACAGAAAUCUAAAAACCACUGCAUUCUGUCAGCAAGGAAAUAAUGCAAAUUUAUGGAAAUGGAAGACCAGUUAAUAGGCGACUCCUCCGAAUGUGUUGCCAAAAAAAUCGGUGGUUAUGUCAAACUCAGCGAGAGAACGGAGUCAUCCAAAACUGGGGAAGAUAGGAUAUGUUAUGCUCAUACAAGUGCUGGUCAAUCGUCGAACAAGAAAGAGGAUGACAAAAGCAUCAAUGAGGUUGUUCAGAAUUAAAUUGAAACCGAACAUGGUGGUGUGCAGAGUUCAACUGUCGGUUCUGCGUCUUCAACUAUGAAAAGGAUGAUUGAAGAUAAGUAUCUUGUGGCACAGGCUAUGUCCGAGCUAUUUCUAACUUUCCUGAAGAAACUUGAGAGUUAAACAUCGGAUAAAUGUGCGGCUCACCAUCACCUUGCCUAACAGUAUUAAACAACAUUAUUUUAGUAAACAGGUGCUUCAUAGAUUUCAAGACUGUUGUCUAAUGUUUGUGGAUGCUUCUAUGCUUCCAAAUUCAUCUUUUGCAGGAUGUGCAGUUGUUCAAGCAGAAGCACAGGUUUUACUAAUGACAGUAAGCUGGAUAAAGAUCUCCAUCUGGGAAGGAUCCUUUUAUUGUCAGACGAUCUUUCUUCAGUUAUUGCUGUCAGUGCUUCUGCUGGUAAUACAAGUUGAACUACUUUAGGUUAUGGAAAUGACUGCAAUACUAUCUCUAAUUUUUUUGUUUAAUCGGCAUAUAAGUAUGUAGAUAGGUCUAUAAAUAGUGCUCCAGAUGGCUUAGCCAAACUUGCUAAAUAGCACAAAGUUUCUAACUGUUGGUUGAUAUCCUCCCGCUUGUAUAGCAGAUAAAAUUGUUCUCCUUUUGUAACUUAUCUGUCGUUGCUGAUAAUAUUGGACAUAUUUUUAAUUUAUUUCAGUUAUAACUUACUCAUACCUCAAAGAUCAAAACUUAAGAAAGACUUCUUCUCAUCAGAGUAGGGGGGGAAAACCAGAUAGUCAACUUGCGUUUCGUAGUAAUGGAUAUUUAACUUUGUUGAUGGCUUUUCAUUUCUUGCACUGCCCCCAUGCGGUAUACCGUCUGCCUAAAAUUGCAAGCAGAGAUACUCAGACAGAUAAACUUAAAGUGGAAGUUGUUGGUGGAAAUUUAGUGGGUACAUUCAGCCUUGAAUGCACUCUUGCUAUAUGGAUGUGGGCGAGACAAAGAGAACUACUCGCUGACUGUGCAUGUCUUUAAAAAAUGCCCGAAGAGAAGAUAGCAAAAUUGUCUAAACUUAUCAGGGAUUACUACAUAUUAUUAUUAGUACCUGGUGAUGUAAAGGCCAAGAAGGCAAUCAGAACACAAGUGAGGCUAGCAUAUGUGAAACUGGAGUAGCACUAUAGAUCAUUUGCGACCCACGGGGAAGCUUUGUUGAAUCCGUCCAAAGGCUGCAGCAUUGAUGACUCGGCCUUCAUUGGCAACUUCUUUAAUAAAUUUGCUGGUCAAUACCAAUUUACAAAUCUUCAUAUAAAGUAGCUUACUGAAAUGAUCUGGAUUAGUGUACUAAGUGAACUCCCAAAUUCAUAUUCAGUCUUUAUUAUAGAAAAACACCUAUACGGAAGAUUUAUUAGUAAGAACUAAGAACUCAACGAGCCAUUUUUAUUGCUAGUGCACAUUAGAAAUGUUUUUGGCAAUCUCAUUGUGAUUUGUGUGAUAUGGUUGAAUAUUUUGGCCAUUGUUAGAUUUGAGCGUAUGUUCAUGUACACUAUUCCUAAAUUAGUUUUACAACUCAUUGUUAUUGGAGAUAUGUCAUAUGUGCAUCUGUAAGACACAACUUUUCGUUGAAGUAG